rnacentral:lncRNA from 1 species
AAUUCUCAUUUUGAUACUUCCUUUUUUGUAAUACCAAGAACUGAAUUAUUUCCAUUUGUCCUCAUGCUUAUUUGAGAAUAAGAAGUUGUUUUCUUCUCAAUUCUAUAUGGGUAUCUUCCAAGAUAAAAUCUUUACGAGGUUUUAAGUUGUUGUAUUGAAGUAAAUUCCAAAAUCUCUUAAUUUGAGGUGUUUUAUUUAUUUGGAUUUAAUGGAUGUUUCUUGUGAUCUUGAAGUGGAUGUCAAUGAUAAAGAAAUAUUUAUUGUUAAUAAGGUAGAUUUUCUUUCUUUUAGCUUUCUGCUUUUUCUCUUUUGUCUUUGUAAAAUAAGAACAAGCUCUGUAUUUUCUCUCCCUUUUCUUUUUUGAUUGUUUGUCCAAAUUGUUACCUUUUCAAUUAUGUUAUUCUGUUUUUUAGUUCUAAUUCUCCGUUUUUGGCUUGUUUUCUCCUCUAUUUUCUCCAAGUUCUUUUUUUUGUGUGUGCAAAAUAAUAGUUUAGCCUGAUACUAUGAUUUUACAUGAGCUACUAACUGUAAGAUUGUAAAUUCUUGCCUAGUUUUUGUUAUGUGAUAUUCUUGUGCAUUAAGUUCUGACAAUUUGUCAGAUUUUAAUUGGUUUGCAUAGAAGAAUGAUGUAUUUGAGAUGCAUAGAUGUAACUCCUUUUAUGUUUUAGAUAGUUGGUUUCUUGAGCACUGUUAUUUAGUCUAUUAGAUGAUAACUAUAAGUCUUAGACAAUGUGAAUAAAUAUGUUGGCUUUUCUUUUGCGUGAACUCCUGAUUUUCUUUUAUUGCUUGCAGGUAUGCUGAAGCCCAAGCUUUACGAGAAAUUCAAGAACUCAAUUCAGUCAGCACCUACAUCAUAAGGUGUAGCAUAACCUUUAUCAACAACUGAAUCAACACCUUCACAUUUUGAUGAUGCACCACAACUGACUUUAUUUAAUCAACCGACAGAAUGACCAACACCUUCAGGUCAUGUUGUAGCAAAUCUGAUUCUGUCAGAUCAGACCACAACACAACAAGUUCCAUCAGCCCGGGCCGCGUCACAACACCCACCAUCUAGAAAACGAAGUGGACGUGUGUCUACGAAACAUUGAACUGUAGAUGCAAUAGGUAUGUUUCUUAUCUAACAUAAAUAUUUGAGGUUUGUUUUGGGGAACUGCUGCAUGGCUCACUUGGUUAAUAUCAUGGUGCUAACUACUACCUUAUCCAGAUCAAAGUUGUCCUCGUUGUGUAGCGCUGGAGUAUGAUCUAAAUGAUCAAGAUUCAGAAACCGUAAAUGAAAAGUAUUAUUCCCAUUUUCACCCCCAAGAAUAUGGAAUAGAACCAGAAAGAUUGUUAUAUUGUAAGUCAAGAAAAAUAAGAGAGGUGGAUUGAGUAAAACUUUGUGCGAUUUCACCAGACAAAGAGUUAUAACUUAGAUUAAGAAUAUAAAGCUUAGUCGAAUUAAUUAGACUAGUUGGCAUUGUCCUAGACAAAGAAUUAUUACUGAUUUCAAGUGUU